rnacentral:rRNA from 1 species
UUCCGGUUGAUCCUGCCGGAGGCUACCGCUAUUGGAGUUCGAUUAAGCCAUGCGAGUCGCGAGUCUUAGGGACUCGGCGUACCGCUCAGUAACACGUGGGUAACCUGCCCUAUGCUGGGGGAUAACCUCGGGAAACUGAGAAUAAUACCCCAUAGUUCACCACGCCUGGAACGGUGGGUGGACCAAAGCUCCGGCGGCAUAGGAUGGGCCUGCGGCGUAUCAGGUUGUAGGGGGUGUAAUGUACCCUCUAGCCCUCUACGCGUACGGGUGUUGAGAGACAUCGCCCGGAGAUGGAUUCUGAGACACGAAUCCAGACCCCACGGGGUGCAGCAGGCGCGAAAACUUGGCAAUGCGAGAAAUCGUGACCAGGGAACUCCAAGUGCAUCGGGUAAGACCGAUGCUUUUCUUGACUCUUCAAAGGUCUUGGAAUAAGGGGUGGGUAAGGACGGUGCCAGCCGCCGCGGUAAUACCGGCGCCCCAAGUGGUAGUCGCUUUUAUUGGGCCUAAAACGUCCGUAGCCGGUCUGGUACAUUCGUGGGUAAAUCAACCAGCUCAACUGGUUGAAUUCUGCGAGCACGGCCAGACUUGGGACCGGGAGAGGUGUGGGGUACUCUCAGGGUAGGGGUAAAAUCCUGUCAUCCUGAGAGGACCACCUGUUGCGAAGGCGCCACACUAGAACGGAUCCGACGGUCAGGGACGAAGCCUAGGGGCACGAACCGGAUUAGAUACCCGGGUAGUCCUAGGUGUAAACGCUGUGGACUUGAUGUUGGGGGCGCUCCGAGCGCACUCAGUGUCGAAGCGAAGGUGAUAAGUCCACUGCCUGGGGAGUACGGUCGCAAGGCUGAAACUUAAAGGAAUUGGCGGGGGAGCACCGCAACCUGAGGAUUGUGCGGUUUAAUUGGAGUCAACGCCGG